GUUCCGCUUGCUCCAAAGACCUCGUCAACCAUUCUGCUCUUCUGGCUACUGUUCUGCCCACAACUGGGGAGCCAGCCCCCUUCCACCCCUCCCACACCCCACACCCCACACCCGGCGGCCCGCGCGGCGACGGCGCCCCUCGCUCGCCGUGGACUGUCGGCGGCGACUACAAUUGGCCAUUCUAAUAAUAUUUGUGAAGGCCACCAGCAAAGACAUUAGCAAUUCUGAGAAAUAAUGGCAGAGAUUGUAAUUCUUCUAGCCAUUAAAAAGAUCGGAAUCGCCUUGGCAAGUAGAAGGGCAAACCAAGCCAAAGUUCAGUUUGGAAAGUACAAAGCACAACUACAAGAGCUACAUGGCAGUGUGGGUCGUGUUGCGAGGGAGCUUCGCAUAAUGCAUGAUGUGCUCUGUCACAUGGAUAUUCGAAACCGCAACAAUCAAGUAUAUGACGGCUGGUUGGAGGAGGUAUAGAAAGUAGCACAUGUGAUGGAGGACAUGGUGGAUGAGUACUUAUAUCUAGUUGGUCAGGAACAUGAUAUUGGGUCAUGUUUUUACCUGAAAAGGGGCUUCAGAAAAUCCAGAUCUCUGCUUUCUAUGAACCAGUUGGCUUUCAAGGUGAAGGAAAUAGAGAAAGACCUUAGUCACCUAUCAGAGACAAACAAACGUUGGGUUCCCAUGACAAUCAGUGGGGUCAGCGGGGCCACCAGCAGCUGUGAUUACAUUGUCAAGAGGGGCCAAGAUCUAGCAAACAUUUCACGUUCCCUUGAUGAAGAAGAUCUUGUGGGGGUGGCUGAAAACAGAGAAAAACUUGGGCAGUGGUUGGCAGAUGAUGAUUUGGAAUGCUCGGUCAUAGCACUUCUUGGAAUGGGAGGACUUGGUAAAACAACUUUAGCUGCAAAUGUCUACAGGAAUGAGAGAAAGAAAUUCCAAUGCCAUGCCUGGGUCUCCAUCUCUCAAUCUUAUUCUAGAGAAGAUGUCUUGAGGAAUAUAUGUAAGGAACUUUUCAAAGAUGAUGUCAGUGUUCUAUCUAAAUCUGCAGCUAUGGAUAUCACAUGCCUUGAAGAGACACUGAAGAGUUUUCUGGAGCAACGAAAGUACUUGAUCAUAUUGGACGAUGUUUGGACUCCAGAAACAUUUGAUGAUUUGUCUAGGAUGCUUAUUCAUAAUGAUAAGGGAAGUAGACUGAUAAUCACAACAAGGGAAGGCGAUGUUGCUGCACUUGCCUCUCCAGGACAUAUCUUAACACUAGAAGCUUUACGAGAAGAUAAGUCAUGGGAUCUCUUUUGCAAAAAAACAUUUGCAAAAGAAACAAAUCAUGAUUGUCAUGCGGAGUUAAAGCCUUUGUCCAGGGAAAUAGUUAGCAGGUGUAAAGGCUUGCCUCUUGCUAUUGUGUCAGUUGCUAGCCUCUUGCGUGUGCGUGAGAAAACUGUGGAAGAAUUAAAUAACCAACUGAUCUGGGAGAUAAUGAAUAAUUCGAGGCUCGACCACAUAAGGAAUGUUUUGCAUCUGAGCUUCAUCUACCUUCCAACACACUUGAAAAGUUGUUUUUUAUACUGCAGCUUAUUUCCAGAAGACUAUCUUCUCAAAAGGAAACAACUUGUAAGGUUAUGGAUAGCAGAGGGGUUCAUCGAGGGGAGGGGUGAAAGCACAUUAGAAGAAGUAGCAGAAGGCUAUCUGAAGGAGUUGGUUGAUAGAAACAUGCUACAACUUGUCAAGAUGAACUCAUUUGGUAGGAUAAAAGAAUUCAAAAUGCACGAUAUAUUACGUGAAUUGGCAGUUGAUUUGUGCCAGAAGAACUAUUUUGGUGUUUCACAAGAGGCUAAAUGUGAGGGGUCUCUUGAGAUGGAUGGACGCCGAUUGAUGCUUGACAAAAUAAACAAUGAUGUUCAACAGUCAUUUUCUGGUUUACACCAACUUCGAAGUGUAAUUACAUCAGGCGAUAGUAAGUCACCAUUCACUCUACUACCCCUGCUAUGCAAGGAGUCAAGAUAUAUGACAGUGCUAGAAUUAAGUGGUAUACCCAUCAAGAAGAUUCCAGAUGCUAUUGGAUAUCUCUUUAAUCUCCGCCAUUUGGGUUUGCGUAAUUCAAAGGUGAAAAUGCUCCCGAGGUCUGUUGAGAAGCUUUCAAAUUUGUUGACACUAGACCUUUGUAAAUCUGACAUACAUGAGUUGCCUAGUGGGAUUGUGAAACUUAAGAAGCUCAGGCACUUAUUUGUUGAGAAAAUAAUGGAUCCAGAUUGGAGAAAUAUCAAUCAUCUCGGUGGUAUGUGUAUCCCCAAUGGACUCAGAAAUCUAACAAACCUGCAAACGCUACAAGCAUUAGAAGUACAGGAUGAGUCCCUUAGACAUCUAGGGGAGCUGAGGCAACUGAAAAGCUUGAGGUUAUUGAAUGUGAAGGGAAUCUACUGCGAAUGCAUCAGUGAAUCUCUAGUUCAAAUGCGGCAUUUGUCCUUGCUAUCUGUGAAUGCAAGUGACGGGAACGAGGUUCUCUUGUUGAAUGUUCUCCUGCCAAGCCUGCAAAAGCUAAGAUUGAGAGGACGGCUACUGGAAGGUGCGUUGGAUGAGUCUCCUCUCUUCCAAGCUGUCGGAGGGCAGAAUUUGUAUGAAUUAGUUCUAUCUUGGUCACAGCUGACAAAAGACCCCUUGCCGUCCCUUUCUCGGUUGUCAAGCUUGACACGUCUACAUUUCACUAGAGCAUACACCGGAGAGCAUCUGUCAUUUCUCACGGAGUGGUUUCCCAAGCUAAAGGUUCUCUCUCUGACAGACCUGCCUAAUUUGAAGCGUCUAGAGAUACAGCAAGGUGCCAUGGGGUCCCUGGAACAUUUAUUCCUAAUCAGACUCAGCAGCAUGACCGAGGUCCCACCUGGCAUUGAGUUCGUCAUGCCCCUCGAGUAUCUAGGCUUCCACGAAAUCACCGGCGACUUCUUGUCUCUGCUGCGCCAUUGUUCUGCGAUUCGAGGGACGAGGUUGAGGUACUCUCUGCGAGAUUGAGCUGCCAUUGCUCUGGAAAUGUGUGGGUGUCACCGGCCGGAAGGGAGAUGCUUCCACUUUUGGGUUUCCUCUGUUUCUUCAACAUGGACUACUGCACUUUCUGCUGUUAGUUCCACUUCUACUUAUGGUGCUUCACUUCUGCUGCAACCGCCUGCAUUUGGUAAUGCUAGUGUUGAUCGUGUGCUCGGUUGUCAGGUGUGACAAUGUUGCCUGUUGUUUAAUUCAGGCUGUGAUUGUUAAGACUGCGAGUGAGUUGUGUUUCAUAUUCAGACUAGCGCAAUGCUUGCUGCCAGUCCCACAUCCUGCUGUUGUUCGUGUGCUUGUUGUCAAGUAUGAUAAUAUUGCUGUAAGUUAUUUUCCCUUCCAAAUAAGGCGACACUUACUGUAAGACUGAGAUUGAGUCUUCUUUCCAUAUUCAGACUAAUUGCAUUUUCACGAUACCAUCCCUGAAGUAUGUACUGCUAUUCGUGUGUGCUAUUUCAACUGCGGAUAUUAAAC
rnacentral:rRNA from 1 species